GGGGCUGUAGCUUAGUGGCAAAGUGCUUGCCUAGCAUGCAUGAGGCCCUGGGUUCGAUCCUCAGCACCACA
rnacentral:tRNA from 1 species